AGAGUGCCAGCUACAGAUGGAAUGUGGGAUAUGUACACCAAGCCAUGUGGGUUUAGGGGGCUUGGAAUGUGAGCUGCUGAUACCAGUAAUGGACGGACCACUGGGAGUAGUUGAAGACAGUAGACAAGAAAGUAGUAAGAGGAAAGUGAGGUCAGCACAAACUCGAGUGGGGGGACAAUUAAGAGCGAAAAAUGCACGUGUGACGCUGAAGAUUUAUCAGGUCACAGCUUUCCAAUGGCCGGAGAAUAAACAACAUAAAUCUUUUCCCCAUGCUGGAACGGACGAAUGUUGAAAAGAAAAGUUGAGCACAACAAAGGACUAUGGUGCGUUUGAAAAAACCCACAAAACUGCCAUAAUGUUGAGAAAAUCAACGCCACAUCAAUGUGGAAUGCACUCCCAACAGACGAUCUGCACACAAUCUGAUCACCAGCAAAAUAUCUGAAAACUCCCGCCUUCCCUUGGUUUAAGGAUUGGAAACCAGCUAGAUGACAAAUGCCUGACAUGAUGUGACACACAGACGACAAGCCUUUUAUUGGCGACAGAAGCGAGUGCAAGAACAAAAUUGGUCCAAAUGUCAGCGGACUAUCGAGCUAUUGAGUUCACCCAGCUAUGACGUUCAAUAAAAAUGGGUCGAUGUGACGCAGCGACACUCAACUUGACAAA